GAGACGCUAGUAAAACCUAUUACUCUGCCUUGUCAAGGCUGUUUUGCAAGUGCAAACCUUGCGCGUCUUU
rnacentral:tRNA from 1 species